rnacentral:rRNA from 1 species
CAGCAGCCACGGUAAUACGUAUGUCACGAGCGUUAUCCGGAUUUAUCGGGCGUAAAGCGCGUCUAGGUGGUUAUAUAAGUCUGAUGUGAAAAUGCAGGGCUCAACUCUGUAUUGCGUUGGAAACUGUAUAACUAGAGUACUGGAGAGGUAAGCGGAACUACAAGUGUAGAGGUGAAAUUCGUAGAUAUCCGUAGGAAUGCCGAUGGGGAAGCCAGCUUACUGGACAGAUACUGACGCUGAAGCGCGAAAGCGUGGGUAGCAAACAGGAUUAGAUACCCCGGUAGUCCCUGUCUCUUAUACA